rnacentral:tRNA from 1 species
GCGCCCGUCGCCUAAUGGAUAGGGCACCAGUCUUCGGAACUGGCAAUUGGUGGUUCGAUCCCACUCGGGCGCG